UACGGAGGGGGCAAGCGUUAAUCGGAAUUACUGGGCGUAAAGCGUGCGUAGGCGGCUAGGUAAGUCUGCUGUGAAAGCCCCGGGCUCAACCUGGGAAUGGCAGUGGAUACUGGCGAGCUAGAGUGUGAUAGAGGAUGGUGGAAUUCCCGGUGUAGCGGUGAAAUGCGUAGAGAUCGGGAGGAACAUCAGUGGCGAAGGCGGCCAUCUGGAUCAACACUGACGCUGAGGCACGAAAGCGUGGGGAGCAAACAGG
rnacentral:rRNA from 1 species